rnacentral:tRNA from 1 species
GGAAGUGUGGCCGAGCGGUUGAAAGCACCGGUCUUGAAAACCGGCGACCCGAAAGGGUUCCAGAGUUCGAAUCUCUGCGCUUCCGCCA